rnacentral:rRNA from 1 species
UCUUCUACWAUUAAUUGGAAGUCGGGCCUGUCCACUGAUAAUUAUUGAAGGGCCGCGGUAUUUUGACCGUGCAAAGGUAGCAUAAUCAUUAGUCUUUUAAUUGAAGGCUGGAAUGAAUGGUUUGACGAAAUAAUAUCUGUCUCAGUAUAAAUAUAUUGAAUUUUACUUUUAAGUUAAAAGGCUUAAAUWUUAAUAAGGGACGAGAAGACCCUAUAGAUCUUUAUAAUGUAUUUUAUAUUAUUGAUUUUGGAUGUAUAAUUUAAUAUAUAAUUUAUUUUAUUUUGUUGGGGUGAUAUGAGAAUAUAUUAACUUCUUGUUUUUUUACUUNGAUAGAAGAUUAUAUGAUCCUUUAAUAUGGAAUGAAGAUUAAGAUACCUUAGGGAUAACAGCGUAAUCUUAUUGGAGAGUUCUUAUUGAUAAUAAGGAUUGCGACCUCCAUGUUGGAUUAAGAAAAUAUAUUAAUGUCGAUGUUAAUAUUAUUGGUCUG